rnacentral:rRNA from 1 species
UACGUAGGGGGGCGAGCGUUGUCCGGAUUUAUUGGGCGUAAAGGGCGCGUAGGCGGCUUUGCAAGUGGCGGGUGAAAUCCCUCGGCUUAACCGAGGAACUGCCUGUCAAACUGCAUGGCUUGAGACCGGGAGAGGUGAGUGGAAUUCCCAGUGUAGCGGUGAAAUGCGUAGAUAUCUGGAGGAACACCGGUGGCGAAGGCGGCAUCCUGGACCGAUAUUGACGCUGAUGCGCGAAAGCCAGGGGAGCAAACGGG